UAUCUCUCCUGAAUUUUUCUCAAUUCCCAAAGAAGGGAAACGAAAAUGAGUGGUCUUUCAAUUCACCCUUUAAUCCAGUUGAACAUCCGUCCAAAGUUUCGCGCCAAAGUCACCAGAAAAUCCUUAGUGAUAGCUUCUCGGAUUGACAAUUCUCAAACGAGAGAAAAUCAACAGCAGGAACUCAAUCUUUCCAUUCUUCGCUUCACAUUUGGUAUACCUGGAUUGGACGAAUCCUACUUACCCAGAUGGAUAGGAUACGGAUUCGGGUCACUUCUAUUAUUGAACCACUUUCUGGGUUCUAAUUCGGCCGCCAGCCCGCCCCAGCUGAGAACGGAGGCUUUGGGUAUUUCUCUGGCAGCAUUCUCCAUUGCACUUCCUUUCUUUGGACGAUUUCUCAAGGGUGUAAGGCCAAUGGAUCAGGCAGCUCUUCCUGGAGGUGCUGAGCAGAUUUUUCUGAUGUCUGAGAAUAUAUUUGAUACUCAGAAGGAGGACUUGGCUUGGGCAACCUAUGUUUUAUUACGAAACACAAACACCAUAGCUGUGUUGAUAUCAAUUCAAGGUGGAUUAUGCGUUCGUGGAUACUGGAAAACACCAGAUAAUUUAUCAAAGGCUCAAUUACUUGAUUGGUUUUUGAAACAGAUCGAUAGCAUUGGUUUGUUUGACUUAAGGGACACCCUCUAUUUUCCACAGACUGCAGAAUCUGGACUGUGGGAGAUGCUUCCCAAGGGAACUCGUUCAUUAUUGGUGGAGCCAGUGCACCAAGCCAGAGCUAAAAGUGCUAAUGAGAUGGAAAAGAUUGAAGGUUUUGUCUUGUUGGCUUCAAGCAUGGAGUACGCAUAUGGUGAUAAAGAUAGAGCCUGGAUAAGGGCAGUGACAAAUAAAUUUGGAGGUGAAAGCACAUGUUCAGACUUGUAACAAAUUUAUGGCUCAAUUUUGAAUUAUCAGUAUCCAGUAAAAGGCUGCUUUGAUUAUGUGACUGCUUCAAGCAUGGCAGUCUCAAUGCUUGGUUGUGCAGAUCUGGCCCAGGUUGGAGAGGUUCUUUGCAAUUUGGAAUGCAUCUGCUGAUGGAAGGUCCUGUGCACGAAAGAUAAUUUCAUUACAUCUAAUGCUUUUAUUUAUCCACAAGGUUUGGAUUAUCAUAUUGGAGUAUGGACAUAAUCACGAGCAUACAGAGAAUAAUAUCAAAGAUGUGAGAGCCUAUGCAAGGAUAUGAGGCCCUUUCUUUGCAGUGGAAGGAAGCUGAGAUAGCUGCUUGUUGGAGGAGUAUAGAUCCUAUGGAUAGAGUUGGUGCAACCAGGCAACCCUGUCAUUGGUGCAGCCCAAUUGAAGUGUACAAAUUGGAAGAAUAUUUUGGUCUUUGGAAGAACGGAAGUGUUCACACAGGUUAAAAAGAAUAUAAACGAAAGUUUAACUAUAAUAUCUCACCCUGUGCUCACCAUGCUGGCCUUGUCACAUAAUGCAGAUAAUGCGGCAAUUGUAUCUAGUUUAAUUCGAGGCACAUAGACGAUACUUUUCAUGCCAAAUGCUGUUGCCUAUCAGAUAAUGUAAGAGAAAGUGAACUAUCAUUAGUAGUUAUUAAUUGAUUAUAACGAAAUACGAAUUUGAAGAUGUUUCAGAAA